rnacentral:rRNA from 1 species
GACGAACGCUGGCGGCGUGCCUAAUACAUGCAAGUAGAACGCUGAAGGAGGAGCUUGCUUCUCUGGAUGAGUUGCGAACGGGUGAGUAACGCGUAGGUAACCUGCCUGGUAGCGGGGGAUAACUAUUGGAAACGAUAGCUAAUACCGCAUAAUAGUAGAUGUCGCAUGACAUUUGCUUAAAAGGUGCAAUUGCAUCACUACCAGAUGGACCUGCGUUGUAUUAGCUAGUUGGUGAGGUAACGGCUCACCAAGGCAACGAUACAUAGCCGACCUGAGAGGGUGGUCGGCCACACUGGGACUGAGACACGGCCCAGACUCCUACGGGGGGCAGCAGUAGGGGAUCUUCGGCAAUGGACGGAAGUCUGACCGAGCAACGCCGCGGGAGGGGAGGAGGGUUUCGGAUCGUAAAGCUCUGUUGUAAGAGAAGAACGAGUGUGGGAGUGGAAAGUUCACACUGUGACGGUAUCUUACCAGAAAGGGACGGCUAACUACGUG